rnacentral:rRNA from 1 species
AAUCAACGCUGGCGGCGUGCCUAACACAUGCAAGUCGAACGAGAAAGUGGAGCAAUCCAUGAGUAAAGUGGCGACCGGGUGAGUAACACGUGACUAACCUACCCUACAGUGGGGGAUAACCUCGGGAAACCGGGGCUAAUACCGCAUAACAUCGCAGAGUGAAACUCUUUGCGAUCAAAGGAGCAAUUCGCUGAAGGAGGGGGUCGCGGCUGAUUAGCUAGUUGGUGAGGUAACGGCCCACCAAGGCUUUGAUCAGUAGCCGGCCUGAGA